rnacentral:rRNA from 1 species
GACGAACGCUGGCGGCGUGCUUAACACAUGCAAGUCGAACGGAAAGGCCCUGCUUUUGUGGGGUGCUCGAGUGGCGAACGGGUGAGUAACACGUGAGUAACCUGCCCUUGACUUUGGGAUAACUUCAGGUAACUGGGGCUAAUACCGGAUAGGAGCUCCUGCUGCAUGGUGGGGGUUGGAAAGUUUCGGCGGUUGGGGAUGGACUCGCGGCUUAUCAGCUUGUUGGUGGGGUAGUGGCUUACCAAGGCUUUGACGGGUAGCCGGCCUGAGAGGGGGACCGGCCACAUUGGGACUGAGGUACGGCCCAGACUCCUACGGGAGGCAGCAGUGGGGAAUAUUGCACAAUGGGCGGAAGCCUGAUGCGGCAGCGCCGCGUGCGGGAUGACGGCCUUCGGGUUGUAAACCGCUUUCGCCUGUGACGAAGCGUGAGUGACGGUAAUGGGUAAGGAAGCACCGGCUAACUACGUG